CCUACGGGAGGCAGCAGUAGGGAAUAUUGCUCAAUGGGGGAAACCCUGAAGCAGCAACGCCGCGUGGAGGAUGAAGGUUUUCGGAUUGUAAACUCCUUUUGUCAGAGAAGAUAAUGACGGUAUCUAACGAAUAAGCACCGGCUAACUCCGUGCCAGCAGCCGCGGUAAUACGGAGGGUGCAAGCGUUACUCGGAAUCACUGGGCGUAAAGAGCGCGUAGGCGGGAUAGCAAGUCAGAUGUGAAAUCCUAUGGCUUAACCAUAGAACUGCUUUUGAAACUGUUAUUCUGGAGUAUGUGAGAGGAAGGUGGAAUUCUUGGUGUAGGGGUAAAAUCCGUAGAGAUCAAGAGGAAUACUCAUUGCGAAGGCGACCAGCUAGAACAUAACUGACGCUGAGGCGCGAAAGCGUGGGGAGCAAACAGGAUUAGAUACCCUUGUAGUC
rnacentral:rRNA from 1 species